UUAUAUAAAGUAAAAAAUUACAUUUAAUUUCGACUUAAAAUUAGGGUAUUAAAAUACCAUUUAUAAA
rnacentral:tRNA from 1 species